UCGGGUGUGGUGUAGGGGACACCGUGAGCGCUUGAGCCAUCUGCAUAGGUGGCAGACAUGUCGCUCGCAAUCCGGGGUUCGACUCCCCGCAUCCGAA